GAGCUCCGAGAGGGCCCACACCAAACCGCACACACCACGUCACCACCGCCGUCUCCGAGCUCCAAGAGGGCCCACACCAAACCGCGCCGCCUUCACGCUCGAGCCGCGCACGACCCCUCCCCACCUCGCUGCCGGCGUCGCUUUGCUUCGCAGAUGGCGUCGGAAGAGGCGGAGCGUGCCGUCAUCACGAAGGCGGUCGCCGUGAGGGCGAGGGACCUGGUCCGGGCUCUCCUCGCGCCUGGAGGCCUGGUGAGCGUCGAGGACGCAGGGGAGACCGUGGCCGUCAGCGUGAGGAGCUGCGUCGCCAAGACUUCCCCGGAGAACCUCGCCGUGCGCAGACAGGACGUCGAGAAGCUGGCCGUUGCGGCCGCCACGGCCUCCCUCACCGUCAUCGUCAACGUCGGUUUAAGCUGGAUCACUGACCGCACCCCACAGCAUGGUAGAGGAGGUAAUCACCAAGGCAGUUGUGGCUUCCCGUGCCCAGGUGGAAGACACGAGGACCUCCUCGGACUACAUUUUUGUUCUCUGGUACUUGGUUGUGACUUUCUGCUGCGGGGUGGCACUGCUUGUUGUUCGUCUUAGCAACUAGUGACCUUAAUGAGUAGAUGCUUUGUCUAGCUCGAAUCGCUGAAGGAUGAAACUUGUGGUGAUUACUUCUGGAUAACUCGAUAACACCUUGGUGGCACAAAAAUGAUGAAAUUCUGUGGUAAACUGAAAGGUGAGCUAAAGUACUCUGGCAUUGGAGGAUGAUCUAUUGGAAUAUUGGUAAAUCUUAGCUGUGUUUCCCAUCUUUUCCGAGGAAAAAGGAACCUAUUCGCUAUAAGUGUAGUUUCUAUAAGAUAUCGUUAGGAUCUUGGAGAUCCAGACCAAGAACAACUCGAUGACUUCAUCUAUCAAUUUCGUAAAACCCUGCUUGACUCAAUAUUUAACGCUCCAAACAAAUCAUUUGGGAGUUGGAUCAUAACCUGCAAUUGAUAGAUGAAGCUCUUUUUGAUAUGGCAAUCGAUGCAGUGGUUGGCGACGGCGAAUCCAUCCUAUUCUGGACAGACCGGUGGCUUAAUGGGGGAACACUGGCUGAAUUAGCCCCCAAUGUAUUCAGAACUGUACCAAAAAGAGUGAGAAAGUCAAGGACAAUAGCUCAAGCACUACAAAAUAGAGGGUGGGUUCAAGACAUUAGAGGUGCUUUAACAGUUCAAGUCUUGAUGGAGUAUCUGCAGGUUUGGGACCUUAUGGAUGGGGUAAUUUUACAGCAGGGGGUACCUGAUCAGUUCCGGUGGAAAUUAAGUCCGUCAGGUUCCUAUAGCAGCAAAACAGCUUAUGCUGCCUGCUUUGUCGGCUCCAUCAGAUUUCCACCCUGGAAGCGAAUCUGGAAGAGCUGGGCUCCUCUGCGCUGCAAGUUCUUCCUCUGGUUAGCCAUCAAGCAACGCAUUUGGACUGCUGAUCGCCUCGCCAAGCGGGGCCUGCCUCACCAAGCUGCUUGCCCUCUUUGCGACCAAGAACAUGAAACAGCCAGGCAUCUCCUUCUCACCUGUGUGUUCACCCGGCAAUGCUGGUCGCUAAUAUCUCAGCACCUGAAUUUGGUCAUUGCCGGGCCUGCUACUUCGACGACCAGUUUUUCAGCUUGGUGGAGCUUAACUAUAAAAUCUGUGCCAAAAGAUCGUCGCAGGGGUCUGAACUCCCUCAUCAUCCUGGUCACAUGGGAAAUCUGGAAGCACCGCAAUGCUUGUGUGUUCGAGGGUGCUCGGCCAAGUGUUCAGUUGCUCCUCCAGACUGUGUCCAGCGAGUGUGCUCUUUGGUGCAUGGCAAGAGCAUCCAAACUCAAGGAGCUCCUAGAUAGGUCGAUGCCCCUGGCACCUUAGGUCCUAGGGGCAUGAUCAUGGAUUGUUUUUCUUUUGUAAGAGUCGACCUUUACAAAACUGUACGGAGUACAGGGGUUGUCUAACCUCUGUACUCUCUCCUUUUUUUCUAUCUUAAAUGAAAUGACGUGCAGUCCUCAUGCGCCGUUCGAGAAAAAAAAA